rnacentral:rRNA from 1 species
AGAGUUUGAUCAUGGCUCAGGACGAACGCUGGCGGCGUGCCUAAUACAUGCAAGUAGAACGCUGAAGAGAGGAGCUUGCUCUUCUUGGAUGAGUUGCGAACGGGUGAGUAACGCGUAGGUAACCUGCCUUGUAGCGGGGGAUAACUAUUGGAAACGAUAGCUAAUACCGCAUAACAAUGGAUGACACAUGUCAUUUAUUUGAAAGGGGCAAUUGCUCCACUACAAGAUGGACCUGCGUUGUAUUAGCUAGUAGGUGAGGUAAUGGCUCACCUAGGCGACGAUACAUAGCCGACCUGAGAGGGUGAUCGGCCACACUGGGACUGAGACACGGCCCAGACUCCUACGGGAGGCAGCAGUAGGGAAUCUUCGGCAAUGGGGGCAACCCUGACCGAGCAACGCCGCGUGAGUGAAGAAGGUUUUCGGAUCGUAAAGCUCUGUUGUAAGUCAAGAACGGGUGUGAGAGUGGAAAGUUCACACUGUGACGGUAGCUUACCAGAAAGGGACGGCUAACUACGUGCCAGCAGCCGCGGUAAUACGUAGGUCCCGAGCGUUGUCCGGAUUUAUUGGGCGUAAAGCGAGCGCAGGCGGUUUGAUAAGUCUGAAGUUAAAGGCUGUGGCUCAACCAUAGUUCGCUUUGGAAACUGUCAAACUUGAGUGCAGAAGGGGAGAGUGGAAUUCCAUGUGUAGCGGUGAAAUGCGUAGAUAUAUGGAGGAACACCGGUGGCGAAAGCGGCUCUCUGGUCUGUAACUGACGCUGAGGCUCGAAAGCGUGGGGAGCGAACAGGAUUAGAUACCCUGGUAGUCC